GGUUAUAGCGAUACAGCGAUCGAUCACGAGAAAGAAGCGGAAAAGAAAAAAAAACUUCUCUCCCGUGCGCUAGCCCGUCGCCGCCUCCCGGAGCCGCUCGCCGCCUCCUCGCACGCGCCCGCCGGACCGCCAGGCGCCGCCGCCAACUCCGAGCGCGCACCCGCCGCAGCCGCGCCCCCUACCCCGCCACCUCCUCGCGCGUGCCCGACGCUCGCCCUACCCCGCCGUUGCCGCCUCCUCGCGGCCGCCAGUGAGACAGGUUCGCCGUCGGCUGGCGCCUUCUCCACCACCGCCGCCGCCUCCUCGCGCGUGGCCUCUGGAGUUCUGGGCUCGCCGUCGGCCGGCUCCUCCUCGCGUGCGCCCGCCGGGGAGCUGUGGUGGGUUACGGCACUACGCAGUACAGACUCCAGGUUAAGGCACAGGGAGGCAACAAUCCAAUACAGGAGAGAUAGGAUGGGAUCCCAGCUCAAGGGAGCCCUGGCGGCAGCUACGGUCGGGAGGACCUAAGCCCUACAGGCAAGCUCUAUAAUCAACCCCCUUUUGCUUACCGGCGAUAAGUCAACCAACUUCCAGUGAUGCAGGUACUGAUCCUCUCCUCCCUCCCUCUCCCUCCCUCCCUCUUUAUCACGACAUUAGCUGAUUGAUCACCAGCUUUUUAUUCCGAGUGCUCCAGUGAACUUUGUUCACAAAAUAGUGUUUUUUUCAUUUUCUGAUGCUUGUGCCUAUCGUGUGACUCCUCCACCGACUUGUACAUUGAUAUCUGCCCAACUGAUUGAUGAAAUGAUCGUUUACAUUUUUUUUUUGUUCAGUCAAUAGUUUCUGAUCAGCUUGGAGUGGUCCGUGCCAUGUUGCUGUGAUAAUGCUACAGGUUAAUCCUCCUGGCUCUCUGUACUGAAACAAUUUCUCUGGAUCUCUUUCCCUUUUGUUUUGGACCUUAUACAACCUGCUGUUGGCUAAUAAUGACAUUCAUGAAUAAUAGAUCAUGUUAAAGCUGUUUGCAUGGUCUGCUGUUGUCAAAUAGUUUUAUGCAGUCACAACUCUUAUUAAAUGAUCAAGUUGACUUCAAGCAUUGGGCUAAAAACUAAGAUUAUGUAAGUUAAAUAACAUAUAUGCUGUCAUCUUCAAUUUAAGUGAUAUUGUGUCAAUCUUCUGAUCAACUGUUUACAUCUUCGGAUUAUAUAGAUUCAUGUCACCUGUGUAUGUCUUCGGAAUUAUCUAUGUUUAUGUUACUGUGUAUGUCUUCAGAUUUAUAUAUAUUUAGGUCACCUGUGUAUAUCUUGAGAUAUUUCGUAAUUGCAUAUUAUUACAGAUGGCAAAGAUGUUUAAUUCUAUUUUUUUAUUGGAUAUCCUUCAGCGAUAUGCCCUGCCCGGCCUUGUCAGCUAAUAUGCAAUAUCAGUUUUAUGCCCUUGACAUGGCAUACAUUCCUCCAGGCUGCACUCACUUACACUUUUACUGUAGAUUGAUAGGUUAAUAUUCCAUUGUCAAGGUGAACCAAUCAGCUAAUGAUGGUUCAUAUAGUUAUAAUUUGAGUGCAACUAUGUAUCCACUAUGAUGUAGAAUUGUGGGUAUUUAUAGAUGCAAUUUAAAAGGUAUGCCACUUAGGAAUCGACACUCAGGCACAUGCACCUAGGCUUGAUGGGUAAGUCUGGCCAAUUUACAUAUGGGGAACACAAAUUAAUUUAAUCAGUUAUUCCAAUUUAUUCUUCUUUGUUUCUAUGCACUGCAAUGCCAAUUUGAGUGCCUAUCUUGUCAUGCUAUUCAGCAUAAUGUCUUGGCAGGCUAUGCAUAUGUUCAUGCUUAUAUAUGCAGCAUUCAUAUAAGUACGGAUUAAUUGGAUUGCUUGCUUUGUCUAAUGCAGCCUCACCAUUUAAUUUGUGGCGAGCACCUUAAUUCCAUCUUGCCAUUAUCGAGGGAGUAUAUCAUAUGCACCUAAUUCUGUAUAUAGAGUAUUUAUUGACUAGGGUCUUGGAAAUUUUUGAAUUGCUGUCAGAUGUAAGUUCCUCAGAUUGAUGAUUUGAUUACUUUCACAGCUAAUACCAUUGAUCAUAGCUAAACACCACUUAUAGAAGUUUAAUGGAUUUUUAUCUAAAAAGGGAAAAAAGGAAAUUAAUAACUGAAACUGCAUAGUAGUACUAUGAUCUCUGAACAAAGAAAUUUGCUGAGUUUCCUAGCAGCUGUUGGGUGCAUUUUCCUCUUGUUAUGUGUGCCUAACCUUGCAUCCAUUAAAUUUCAAAAGUGCAAAUAGAGAAUUAUUGCAUGCAUUCCUUUUAUAUCAAAGAUUGGGAUGAAAUUUCCAGCUUAAUCCUGACAGCCGCAAUGUGUCUUGAGCAAAAGGAAGCAAGGCUGCAACUGAAACACGGUGAAUAGUAAAUAAAAAUCUCGCUUUUAGGAAAAAAAAAAGGUGUAGCAGCUUGAAGCAUUAAAAAAUAAGAUGGCAGCAAACAGAUGUUUGCUUUAUUGGAUUUAAUACUUGGAUAUUCCACUGUGCUUCCCAAAUUGAGCUGAAUAAAUAGCUGACGAAUUGUUCUCUUAACAUGUCUCAGUUGUCCUUUGUAUCAAAUGAGCAGCAUAAUCCAUUCAUGGAUUGUUCUUUUCCACUGGUGAUACAGAUAGUUACUUCUAAUGUUUCAUGGAAAAGUUCGAGCUACAAAAAUUUCUUAAGCAAGCUUACGGAUUGUUUCUGAUGAGUUUAGCAACUCUAUGGAAACAAGCAUAAGUGCUUCUCAUCUGACCAGUUCCAAGAGAAAAGUAGCCAAGUAGGUAGAACAAUCCCAAAACUGCAAACUUAUUUUACUGUAUAUAUAUACUUUCCUUUUUAGCAUUUUCUGUAAAGUCCCAGUUCUGUAUUGCAGUUGGCAUGGUUGUGUUCAUCGGAAUAUUGAAUGUCAAAUCGAAAGGAGGCGCCAACCUAUAGCUAUCAACAACAUGGACACCAUGGUUCAGAUUCAUAAAUUUGGGGAUCAUGGAUGUCUAGGUUCAGAAAUUUUUGGAUUUUAGGCAACAAAUUUUGUAGAAUUUCCAAUUUAGAAAAACACAUUUUGCAUUUCGUUAUAAUGUAAUAAAAUACCAAUUUACGUUUAUUUGAUGAAUUAUCAAAGCAACGCUUACAAUACUUUUAUUUU
rnacentral:lncRNA from 1 species